rnacentral:rRNA from 1 species
CCUACGGGAGGCAGCAGUGAGGAAUAUUGGUCAAUGGACGAGAGUCUGAACCAGCCAAGUAGCGUGAAGGAUGACUGCCCUAUGGGUUGUAAACUUCUUUUAUAUGGGAAUAAAAUGUUCCACGUGUGGGAUUUUGUAUGUACCAUAUGAAUAAGGAUCGGCUAACUCCGUGCCAGCAGCCGCGGUAAUACGGAGGAUCCGAGCGUUCUCCGGAUUUAUUGGGUUUAAAGGGAGCGUAGGUGGAUUGUUAAGUCAGUUGUGAAAGUUUGCGGCUCAACCGUAAAAUUGCAGUUGAAACUGGCAGUCUUGAGUACAGUAGAGGUGGGCGGAAGUCGUGGUGUAGCGGUGAAAUGCUUAGAUAUCACGAAGAACUCCGAUUGCGAAGGCAGUUCACUGGACUGCAACUGACACUGAGGCUCGAAAGUGUGGGUAUCAAACAGGAUUAGAUACCCGUGUAGUC